UGCUGACAGGUACAGGUUGGUAAGGUACGCAGUCAGGUAGCCAAUAGGACUUUUUCCUCCUGUCAUGCAGAAGCGUUCGAUUGUUAAGCCAUAGUGAUUAAUGCUGUUUAUGAGCCUCACUCCCACUUGGGCAUGGUUGUUAGUCAUCAGAACAAUGUCAAAUCGUUCUUCAUCAUCAGGGUACAGUUCGAGAAGCCUGGCAUUGACAUGUUCUAGUGCCUUGACGAAGUGAAACGCCGGUCCGGGCUUCAGGGUGACGUUCUCGUUCUCCUGCUGAAUUUCCUGAUGCAAGGAAGCUUAUAUGAUCAUACCAUCUGUCCAUCGUUCCCCAGUGAUGCCCAGUUCCAGAUGAAUUUGACAGAAGGAUAAAGAUCUCAAAGAGAUUUAAAUUCUCCAAACGUUUAAUGCCCAUCAGCAGCAGCCUCCAGGAAAAGCCUGUACUGCAAAUGCAGUAUAUUAAUCUGCUUGUUCUUGUGCUACAUAACAGUGAAUGAAUGCUGCCUGGCUGCCUGCCUUCUCCAGUCAGCCCUAUUGCCCAUGGUCCCAUUGAGCACAGGGGGUCUGGAGCGGUAGGAGCUUUGUGGAAGGAAGGAGCUCAAAGUGUGUUAUUAAUGGAAAAAAAAAAAGAAGCAAACCUACACUUCUAUCUGGAAGGAUGUGAAAUAUUUCCAAACAUUUAACAUACUGAGACCAGAAGUAAGGAAAAGACUCACUAUGGAAGGACCUUUUCUGCCUUUAAAUUUGGUGUUCCACUCCUCCGUAACACCGAGAUGAUCAGAGCCCUGGCAGGGCAGCGGUCUGUCCAACUGCCAGCAGAGAAGCUCUGACCUGACAGCAGACUCAAUCUUCUGGUCUGAUGGACGAUGGUGGUGCCAGCACAUGUGUCUUCUGGAAGAUAGGAAUGUGGAUCUCACACAGCAGUAGGACUUUUUUUCCCUUUACAAUGGCCGAGCAGAGCAGCAGCAGUGCCAUUGAUUCCUGCUGUUGCCGCCCUGCUGAACGCCAAGACAGAUAAACUGUGGGAUGUUCUUAGCAGCUCCUCCAUGGGGUAGUAAGAUAAACAUGAGAAACAUAAGGAGAUAUUAAAGAGUAGAUUAUAAUCCAUUUUCAGGAAACAGCAUUUUCUCCAGCAAGAGAGACUGAACUUUAUCAAAGGGGAAACUUCUCCAGGAGGACUUGCCAAAGUAAAUCUCUUUGAUGCAAAUGGUUUAAGCAAAGACAUUCACCUUAAUCUACUGUGUGGUGACCUGCUCUUCUGAUACAAAGAAUAAUUAUGGGUGUUUUCGGAAUUGCUGUGGUCUGCAAAUCCUCCAAAUCUAAGUUCUUAAUGUUCCCGCUUCACCACUCUGAUCUUGGUCACCCACAUUUCUUGUAAUUUUGGCCUUGCUUAAUGCCUUUAGGUGUUGUUACUUGGAAAGACUUCACUGCCUUUUGAAGGACAGAUCAAAAAAUAACAAGCUUUUUUUUUUUUUUACCUUUACAUUUAAUUGUUGUGCCUGGGUCUAAUAAAGUGAAUGACCCACAAAUAACUUGAUCGAAGUGCAGAACACAGUGGAGUGGAGAAGACGAGUGUUUAGCUGUUGAAAUCAAUACUUUCAUGCAGAUUGAUGUCUGUGCCAGUUUGCCAUCCCGGACGUUUUCAGUUUAGUUUAUUUGUGUUACAGUAGUAGUGACAAUGUAGUUAAAUAUAGCCUCUGAAAACAGGAUCUCUGCUUGUUUCAUUUGUAUUCUACUGUUCUUUCAUUAAACAUUUCUUCAUCUUUGCAGAGCCAAAUUCUUACAAUAAUAAAUCAGAGACACCUAAAGUUCUUGCCAAGUCAAAUAUCUACAGUUUCUGGCAAUUAUGUAAUUUCCAGAUUUGCUACAAUGACUCUUGCCGAUAAGUCAAUUGUCAUAAAAAGAAAUGUUCCAGACCAAUCUUUAUUAGGGUGUCCUUCACUGAUCUGUGUAAAAUAAUCCCCCUCCAGCCCCACUUUCUUUUAGAAAAGAGAAACAUAAUUACAGCUUUUUCCCUUGCUAUGAAUGACUCUUCAUCAUAACAAUUUAUAUCUGGAAAAUGUCACAAGAAAAUGUGAAAAAGGUAAGUUUAAACCAAAGAAAUCAGGAACUGCUGUUAUUAAUAGAACAGCUCAGAAAUGUUUCCCAUGAUGUGUUAUAAUGGCUCUGUCUUAUAAUAAAAUUUAACAGUGAUGUAUUUCCCUUGUUCUCAAGUUGAUUUUGUAUUAGAAGUCCAGACAAAAGUAAUUUGUAGCAAAGGUCCCUGAUCCAAUGUCUGUAUAUGGAAAAGACUCAAAGGACUUUGUGCCCAUUUAAAAGUCCUUUAAAAUGAUUAAUGGCUAAAUGCAUUACAAAUUAUCAAGUAUUUCACACUGACAAAACAGAGAACUUAUUCUGAAUUUG
rnacentral:lncRNA from 1 species